CCUUGGCAUUGGCAUGGUGUUAGCACAGAUAUUGUUAUUUGCUGUACUCUGUUAUUUUCCAGUCCAGCUGGCUGAUUAUCUUCCUCUCCCACUUACACUGCAGCAGUGGUUCCUGGUUCAUGUUUUUUACAUGAGUCUUCGAACCUCUUGAAAAACAAUGAGAUUUGCAAUAUUAGAGAUUGAGCUAUGUUAAUGCUGCAUUUUCAGGCGUGGGCACGCACCUAUAAAUCAACAAUUACAAGCCUUUUACCAAAUCUCCCAACAGCAAAAAAGGACUGGGAGUAGGUGCGUGGCAGCCAGGACUCGGUUCCGUAUUUGCAUGGAGUUUGCAGAGAAGACUUGGUUCCAUUGAAAGGCUCGAACGGAGAGACCACCAUGAUGACUGCUUCCAGCCAAAACUCAUCUCUUCAGCAUUUGCAGGAUAAUCAUCUUAGACUUCGCAUAUUGCCAGUACCAUCCCCACCUCUACCAUCCCCAUCUCCCUACCUUUAGGCCUCUAAACUAUAAUAAUGCCCCUCUUGGUGUCCUGCACAGUAAAAGUGGGUAGGUUAGUAGGUCCCUCAUUAAGUAGGUAUAUUCCCCUACAGUAGGCAGGUAGUACUUCCAUUAGGGUAAUUAUGUCCCAGAGUAUAUAGUAGUUGUCUUAUUAGGUUGUUCCUCCAUAGGCAGGUAUGUCAUCGGGUAGGUAGCCCCCCUCAACAGGUAAAUACAUCCUCAGGUAAGUAGGUAAGUAGGUUGGUAGAUCAAUUCCUCCAACUGUAGAUAAAUAUGUUGGUAGGUAUGCUGCUAGCUAGGUAGAUAGCCAGAUAGAUAGGUAGGUAGCCAGGUAGGUAGAUAGCCAAUAAGGUAAUUAGUUAGGUAGGUAGCCAGGUACUAGGUAACAAGGUAGGUAUCCCAGUGGUAGGUAGACAGGUAGCCAGGUAGGUAAUAAGUUAGCUAGGUAGCCAAGAUGGUAGGUAGUCCAGUGGGUAGGUAGAUAGGUAGCCAGGUGAGUAGGUAGGUAGCCAGGUAGGUAGGUAGCUAGUCAGGUAGCCCAGUGGGUAAGUGGCUAGGUAGCCAAAUAAAAAGUUGGUCUGCCUGGAUGCAAUAUGUGCUUUCUGAUACC